UACGGAGGGGGCGAGCGUUAUUCGGAAUUAUUGGGCGUAAAGGGCGCGUAGGCGGCUUGACAAGUCAAAGGUGAAAUCCCUCGGCUCAACUGAGGAACUGCCUUUGAAACUGUCUGGCUUGAGGCCGGGAGGGGGUAGCGGAAUUCCCAGUGUAGCGGUGAAAUGCGCAGAUAUCAGGAGGAACACCGGUGGCGAAGGCGGGUCGCUGGGAUGAUGCUGACGCUGAGGCGCGAAAGCCAGGGGAGCAAACGGG
rnacentral:rRNA from 1 species